UUGUAAUCUACGUUGCUACAUUAGGUCAGUAGUUGUAAACAUGGGAAUGUCAGACUGCAAGUUGAGUACAAGGGUGAUCUAGAUACAGUUAUAUAUGUUACAGCUUAGUUGCAACUGACUGGGUUAAGCAUCUCCGACAGUUGCAGCGCAAGAAAAAAAAACCUUGACCAAUACAAAUGGAAGGCGGAUGCCAUUGACGUUCUCUGCUGAGCUUUGCAG
rnacentral:lncRNA from 1 species